rnacentral:rRNA from 1 species
AUGGCGCCCUCCAAGCUCGCCCUCUUUCUCGCCCUGAACCUGGCCCUCCUUGUCGCCGCCCAGGGCUGCGGAUCCUACUGCCCGCCGGACGUCCCUACACCGCCGAUUCGCCCACCGCCCGUUGUGCCAUCGACCGGCGGGGGCAGCUGCCCGAUCAACACGCUGAAGCUGGGCGUGUGCGCCAACGUGCUGAACCUGGUGAAGCUCAGGAUCGGUGUGCCGGAGAACGAGCAGUGCUGCCCGCUCCUGGGCGGGCUCGCCGACCUCGACGCCGCCGUGUGCCUCUGCACCGCCAUCAGGGCCAACAUUCUCGGCAUCCAGCUCAAUGUGCCCAUCGACCUGACCCUCCUCCUCAACCAAUGCGGCAAGAAGUGCCCCUCCGACUUCACCUGCCCCAUCUGA